rnacentral:rRNA from 1 species
UACGUAGGGUGCAAGCGUUAUCCGGAAUGAUUGGGCGUAAAGCGUGCGCAGGCGGUUGUGCAAGACAGAUGUGAAAUCCCCGGGCUCAACCUGGGAAUUGCAUUUGUGACUGCACGGCUAGAGUGUGUCAGAGGGGGGUAGAAUUCCACGUGUAGCAGUGAAAUGCGUAGAGAUGUGGAGGAAUACCGAUGGCGAAGGCAGCCCCCUGGGAUAACACUGACGCUCAUGCACGAAAGCGUGGGGAGCAAACAGG